ensembl:lncRNA
GAUGAGUGGUGUAGGUCUACCCCGGGAUCUGAAUCCAUGAACCCGGGCUGCCAAAGCAGAGCGUGCUGAACUUAACCCCUACACCACAGGGCUGGCCCAGGGUCUGAUCAUCUUAAAAUGAGCCAUCUACUUAAAUUCUAGAUUCAUUGAACUGAGCCAAUAAACUCCAGUUUGUAGCAGCUCUACCAACACAGAGGAUGCCUGAGUGUUCUAAGAUCCUGCUUAAAACAACAAGUCCUCUCGUCUUUAUUACAAUGUGACACAUUUUCUGAUGAAGCAGCAAUCUGAAAUAGAAAACAUGAUGUCAUAGACUAUGAAAUAAACGUUCUUAUUUUUAAUGAGAUCUGCCACCAUUUCAGACCUGCCUGAAGUUGAAAUGAACACGAUGAACAACUGUGAAUAAGAACUAACAUUUCAGGGUGUGAGGAAUCAGAGGUGACCGGAUGAUUUAGUUGUGUCCCAAGCAGGAUGUCCUAGUUUCAAAAUUAUUCAUGUAUUCAAAGCAACAGAAUAAAUCCCCAUUCUAUUUAAGAGGUAGUGAUUCUUUCUAUCCAAGUGAAAAUGCAGCACAUAGACCCAAAUUCUGCACUGAAAAUAGAAGAUUAUUAGCAUUAUAAUUUAUGUAAAUGGCUGCUCUAUUCAUGUGAAGGUAAUUGGUAUCUCUCAGUCAUAUGCUAAUUAUUACAUAAACAGAUCAUAAACAAUUAUGUGAGACGAUUUCCUUUUUUAAGCUGAAACUCCACCUAUUCCUUUAAAGGGUCUACUAUGUUAUUAUAUAAAACAGGAAAAGAAUGACUUAUAUGAGUUCCAAUGCUUUAAAAAUAAAAAUUCUGUUUGGUGCUCUAAAAAUUCUGUUAGGUUUGGUAGGCAUAAGAUCUAUCUAAGAUCUAGGGCAAUGAUUCCCCAUCUUACUGGAACUCACUGGAUAUGUUUGUCUUGGUGGUAGACCUUGAGAGGAAGAAUGGGCGUAAACUUCUCAAACUGAGUGCAUCAAAAUCACCUGGAGAGCUCGUUAAACGCAGGUUUCAGGGCUUCAUCCCCAGAGUUCCGAUUCAGUGGGCCUGACAAUUUGCGUUUCUAGCAAGUUCCAGGUGAUGCUGAUGCAAUUGGUUCCAGCACCACCCUUUAAGAAUCAGUGCUUUAAAGCACGGAUGUGGACUUGGACCCUCAAGGCUGAAGGGAUGUCUAGACUCAAUAGCUUCUUGACGUCCCGGUCCUGUGAUGUAAAACUGCCCUACAGCCAAUUAGUUAUGCUGCGAAAACGUGUGCGAUGAAAAUACUUGCAGCAAAGAUGUUGAUGGCAAAGCUGCUUAUGACGAAAAUGCCAGACACAGAUUUUGUUCUCUUAGGCAAAUACCCAGAAGUAGAAUUGAUGAACCAUUGAGAAAUUUGGCAAGAAAAAGUACAAGUGGAUUCGCCUCCCUCCUCAGGCAGAGCCAGCCACGGCCUUGUUUCCUUGGGAUCCCACAGGAAGAGGUGAUGCGAGCCCGAUUUCAAACGGGCCUCAUGCGGCCAGACCUGCGAUCUGACAAGCCAUUUAGACAUCCAAAAUUGCAAAACAAUAAUAACCGUCAGUUAACACAGGCCUUUCUGCAUGUUAGGCUCUGUUCUAAGGGCCUUCUAUUUAUUGACAAGUCCUCACACGAUGGUAACUCCUUCCUCAAUGAGAUUUAAAGAGGUCUCUCCAACGUUUUUUUAAGCAGCGUCCACACACAGCACAGUGUGACCUGUGCUUUGAGGAUUAGGAUAUGAAUACAGACUCUGCCCCCGCAGAGCUCCCAAGGUCUCAGGAAAGAUGCAAUGAGGAGUCACAGUGCAAUGGACAGUCUGAGAGAAAUGGCGGCACAGGAAGACAGGCUCCUCGAGGCUGGGCACAGAGACUCUGCCUGGAAGGAAGGAUGGCCGUGCAGAGCGGGUGACAUUUGGGAUGGGCCGUGAAGAGUAAGAUUUUGUCAGGUGGAGGAGACUAAAAUUAGAUAAAAACAGACAUUCUCAACCUUUAGCAGUGCAUCUGCUGAAAGUUCCAAUGCUCUGAUCCUGUGGUUGGUUCUGGCACCUAGCUCCCUCCUGACACUGUGUUGGGGCCCAGCUCAUCAGCGCAUUAGCAUAAAAACUCAGGUGUGGUUGAAAGAGGCUCGUUAUGAAUAAAAGAUGCUCCUCUCACUCCUGUCACUCAGGAAAUUACAAGGGUUUUAGGAGCUCUGUGCCAGGAACCAUAACGAAGACCAAAUAUGUAUAUAUUUCUUCUUAUAUCACAAUAUCACUCACGAUUAGGUUGAAGUUACACAUUUUUGGCAAAAAUAAAACAGAAGAGAUGCGCCCUCCUCUGCAUAUCACGCCAGGGCAUAAAUGAUGUGCCUGUGUCUUUCUUCGUAACUGAUGCUGACUUUGAUCACUCAUUUAGGAUUGUGUCUGCUGGGCGUCUCCACUGUCAAGUUGCUGUUUUCCUCUUUGUAAUUAAUACGUAUCUUGUGCAAAAGAUAUGUUGAAGCUAUGUAAAUAUUCUGUUUCUUAGCAUACUUUUGCCCACUCAUUUUAGUAUCCAAAGAGAGCUUUGGCCUACAAUAGGUGUUACUGUGAUUUUCUAUCAGUGGUUUUCUAUCAUUCUAGAAGAAAAAUUUCAUAGUUUCUACGUCCUCUCUUUUAGUCCCCUCAGGUCAUGAUUUGAGGUCUGGCUGCCUUU